rnacentral:lncRNA from 1 species
UGCAUGCAGGGUGGGGUGGGCAGUGCCACCUGGGGCCACAGAAAAACCUGGAGUGGGAGGUGGCCCUUCCCCCCUCAGGAAAGGUGGUGGAGGUUUCCAGAGGCUGGCUUAUGGGGACCCGUGGUGAGGUUUUAGGCAGGUGAGCAUAGUUCAGGAACAGCCUCAGCCGCACUGCAGGGGCCUGGCCUCAGGUCUUCUGCAGGCAUUGGGCCUUAUGCCCUUUUAGUCCCCACCUAGGCUGGGUGUCUAAAGCAGGUGAGGUCAUCACUGUAGGAUCCCUGGGGCCUGACCUGCCCCCUCCCACGUGUCUCUGCCUCAGUUUCUCUGAGCAUUGAGGCAGUGGCUGGUGCUGUCCUGUGGCCAGGCCCAAAAGCUGAGUGCCCAGGGGGUCCAGGGGCCUUGCUGGCCAGAGAGAGUGGGUAGCCCAUUCUACCCUGAGCCUGUGCGCGUGCAGGGCUGCCAACACCUCCUUCCUUCCCCGCUUGGCCGAAGCCCAGCUGGGUCUUCACUUUCCUCCAGGUCACCGUGCCCCGCUACUCCAACUCCGUGGGACUUUGGAAUGCACCUUCUGGGCAUUUAAUUCUUAUCCAAGUGCCUCUUAAGUUAUACUUCUUUGCUACCAGUGUGUCCUGUGGAUGGAGGGGAGGGGAGGUGGUAGGGGCCGGGUGGGGUGGACCCCAGGGACUCCUGCUGCUCCUGCUGGGCACCCAGCCCUGGGUACAGGAGCAGGUGGGGACCAGCAGAG